rnacentral:rRNA from 1 species
UACGUAGGGGGCUAGCGUUGUCCGGAAUCAUUGGGCGUAAAGCGCGUGUAGGCGGUCCGGUAAGUCCGCUGUGAAAGUCGAGGGCUCAACCCUCGAAUGCCGGUGGAUACUGUCGGGCUAGAGUGCGGAAGAGGAGUGUGGAAUUCCUGGUGUAGCGGUGAAAUGCGCAGAUAUCAGGAGGAACACCAAUGGCGAAGGCAGCACUCUGGGACGUGACUGACGCUGAGACGCGAAAGCGUGGGGAGCGAACAGG